rnacentral:rRNA from 1 species
ACGCCUAAUACAUGCAAGUCGAACGAAGUAGCAAUACUUAGUGGCAGACGGGUGAGUAACAUGUGGGUAUCUUCCCUUUGGUGAGGAAUAACACGAGGAAACUUGUGCUAAUACCUCAUAAGUCUUUACGGAGAAAGCUUUAUGCGCCAUUGGAUGAGCCCGCACUUGAUUAGUUUGUUGGUGGGGUAAUGGCCUACCAAGACUGUGAUCAAUAGCUGAUUUGAGAGGAUGAUCAGCCACAUUGGGACUGAGACACGGCCCAAACUCCUACGGGAGGCAGCAGUAGGGAAUCUUGCACAAUGGAGGAAACUCUGAUGCAGCGAUGCCGCGUGAGUGAAGAAGGCCUUUGGGUUGUAAAGCUCUUUCGUCGGGGAAGAAAAUGACUGUACCCGAAUAAGAAGGUCCGGCUAACUUCGUGCCAGCAGCCGCGGUAAUACGAAGGGACCUAGCGUAGUUCGGAAUUACUGGGCUUAAAGAGUUCGUAGGUGGUUAAAAUAGUUGGUGGUGAAAUCCCAGAGCUUAACUCUGGAACUGCCAUCAAAACUUUUUAGCUAGAGUAUGAUAGAGGAAAGCAGAAUUUCUAGUGUAGAGGUGAAAUUCGUAGAUAUUAGAAAGAAUACCAAUUGCGAAGGCAGCUUUCUGGAUCAUUACUGACACUGAGGAACGAAAGCAUGGGUAGCGAAGAGGAUUAGAUACCCUCGUAGUCCAUGCCGUAAACGAUGUGUGUUAGACGUUGGAAAUUUAUUUUCAGUGUCGCAGCAAAAGCGAUAAACACACCGCCUGGGGAGUACGACC